CAAUAGCGUAUAUUAAAGUUGUUGCAGUUAAAAAGCUCGUAGUUGGAUUUCUGGUUGAAGCGACCGGUCGGGCAUUGAUUUGUCUGCACUGGAGUCGGUUCUGGCCAUCCUCUUGGAAAGUGCGUCUGUCAUUAAGUUGUCGGGCGUAUGAUCCAGGUCUUUUACUGUGAAAAAAUUAGAGUGUUUAAAGCAGGCCUUCGCCUUGAAUACAUUAGCAUGGAAUAAUAAGAUAGGACUUUGGUCUAUUUUGUUGGUUUGCAGACCGAAGUAAUGAUUAAUAGGGAUAGUUGGGGGUAUUUAUAUUCCAAUGUCAGAGGUGAAAUUCUUAGAUUUUUGGAAGAUAAACUUAUGCGAAAGCAUUUACCAAGGAUGUUUUCAUUAA
rnacentral:rRNA from 1 species